rnacentral:rRNA from 1 species
CCAAUAGCGUAUAUUAAAGUUGUUGCGGUUAAAAAGCUCGUAGUUGAAUUUUGGAUUCUGCCAAUUGGUCCAUCUUUUGAUGAGUACUGAUUGUGUGGGGUCUAUCCGCCUGGUGAUACGUAAUGUGCUUUAUUGCAUGUUACGGGUAGCCAGGACCUUUACCUUGAAAAAAUUAGAGUGUUUAAAGCAGGCUUAUGCCGGAAUACAUUAGCAUGGAAUAAUAGAAUAGGUCGAUGUUGUUUUAUUUUGUUGGUUUCUAGGACAACCGUAAUUAUUAAUAGGGAUAGUUGGGGGCAUUAGUAUUCAAUUGUCAGAGGUGAAGUUCUUGGAUUUAUUGAAGACUAACUACUGCGAAAGCAUUUGCCAAGGAUGUUUUCAUUAAUCAAGAACGAAAGUUAGGGGAUCGGAGACGGUCAGAGACCGUCGUAGUCUUAACCAUAAACUAUGCCGACUAGGGAUCGGGCGAUGUUGUUUCCAUGACUCGCUCGGCACCCUAUG